rnacentral:pre_miRNA from 1 species
AAUUGGUUCUUCUAUCUAUUUAUAUUGUUAAAAAUUAUCGUGGUUGAUGGAAUAACCAGACAGUGACAUGUGACGCACUAUAUGUGCCUCAUAUUGAGGUAUAAAAAUCAAUUUUUAAUAGUAGAAUUAGAUGAAAUUUUUAAAA